GUGCUCGCUUUGGCAGCACAUAUACUAAAAUUGGGACUAUACAGAGAAGAUCAGUAUGGCCCCUGCACAAGGAUGACAUGCAAAUUCGGGAAGUAUUCAAUAUUUUA
ensembl:snRNA U6 U6 spliceosomal RNA